CACCCGCAUGUGUAUAUGGACUGUCUGUGCCACAGGACCUCAGAGAAGAGUGGCCUGUGAAGUGCUGAGUGCCCAGAGUUAAGGAAAUGGGCUGGAAAUCCUUCAUCCUGGAGAUCUUUCACUGGAGCAACCCAGGCUGAGCAGAAGUCCUACCUUUGAGCUGUCUGAGCUGUCUGGUUCCACACAGCUACACUGGGAAGGACAGCAGGAAACAACCCAUAUCCCACCCAAAGUGGCUGUCCUGGGGUCUUGAGGAGGGAGACAUGGCUUUCUGCUGGAGGCCUGGGUGAAAAAGGGUAAGAAGGAGGCAGAGGGAGUGAAGGACCAAGGCUGGGAUCCUGGAAAAACAGAUGCAGGGCAGGAUGCUGCCUGUGAGUCCUUUCUUCUCUUUUUGUGAUUGUCUCUGUCUUUUCUGGCAAUAAACUGAGGCUGGCUAUUAAUAUCCAGGCACAGCAUCCUCUCUGUUUACUGGCUAUAUUUAAAGGGUGCUUCUACC
rnacentral:lncRNA from 1 species